AUGAACGCUGGCGGCGUGCCUAAUACAUGCCAGUCGAGCGAACAGACGGGGAGCUUGCUCCUCUGACGUUAGCGGCGGACGGGUGAGUAACACGUGGAUAACCUACCUAUAAGACUGGGAUAACUUCGGGAAACCGGAGCUAAUACCGGAUAAUAUAUUGAACCGCAUGGUUCAAUAGUGAAAGACGGUUUUGCUGUCACUUAUAGAUGGAUCCGCGCCGCAUUAGCUAGUUGGUAAGGUAACGGCUUACCAAGGCAACGAUGCGUAGCCGACCUGCGAGGGUGAUCGGCCACACUGGAACGGAGACACGGUACAGACUCAUACGGGAGGCAGCAGUAGGGAAUCUUCCGCAAUGGGAGAAAGCCUGACGGAGCAACGCAGCGUGAGUGAUGAAGGUCUUCGGAUCGUAAAACUCUGUUAUUAGGGAAGAACAAAUGUGUAAGUAACUAUGCACGUCUUGACGGUACCUAAUCAGAAAGCCACGGCUAACUAAGUG
rnacentral:rRNA from 1 species